AGAUCUUUCAAAGUUCCCCACGGAAUGCACUUACUCUCACCCUUUUCCUUAAUUCUAGCCAUGAUCCACUGCUCGCUCAUCCUCGUAAUGGCCAUCAGCUUCUUACCAAAGGUUGGGACACAAGCAGCUCGAGAAUAAAUCCUAUCACACUGAAAUCUAGGACACCGAAGUAAGGCUGUGUACUCCUCCACAGUAGGCACUAAAUCUACCUCCACAAAGGUAAAACAAAUGUAUGCUGGGUUCCAAAACUGAACGAGAGCUCAAAACAAGUGCUCAUCAACCUGAAUAUCAAACAAAUAGGGC
rnacentral:lncRNA from 1 species